rnacentral:rRNA from 1 species
UGGUUCUCCCCGAAAGCUAUUUAGGUAGCGCCUCGUGAAUUCAUCUCCGGGGGUAGAGCACUGUUUCGGCUAGGGGGCCAUCCCGGCUUACCAACCCGAUGCAAACUGCGAAUACCGGAGAAUGUUAUCACGGGAGACACACGGCGGGUGCUAACGUCCGUCGUGAAGAGGGAAACAACCCAGACCGCCAGCUAAGGUCCCAAAGUCAUGGUUAAGUGGGAAACGAUGUGGGAAGGCCCAGACAGCCAGGAUGUUGGCUUAGAAGCAGCCAUCAUUUAAAGAAAGCGUAAUAGCUCACUGGUCGAGUCGGCCUGCGCGGAAGAUGUAACGGGGCUAAACCAUGCACCGAAGCUGCGGCAGCGAACGUAUCACCCAAGACAACUUUACGGAGUUGACGAUUGACGGAGCGAAGCGACGUCAAAGCGUUCAUUAAAGUCGAGUUGGCUUAGGGAUACGUUCGUUGGGUAGGGGAGCGUUCUGUAAGCCUGUGAAGGUGUGUCGUGAGGCAUGCUGGAGGUAUCAGAAGUGCGA